GAUGAACGCUGGCGGCGUGCCUUAUACAUGCAAGUCGAGUGGGUUUAGACCCACGGCAAACGGGUGAGUAACACGUAGGUACUUUCCUUGUCACAGGAAUAACCCUCCGAAAGGAGGGCUAAUACCUGAUGUGAUCGCAAGAUUAAAGGGUAUCCGCAAGGAUUACCGGACAAGAAGAGGCCUGCGGCCUAUCAGCUAGUUGGCGGGGUAAAUGCCCACCAAGGCUAUGACGGGUAGCUGGUCUUAUGAGGAUGAUCAGUCACAUGGGCACUGAGACACGGGCCCAACUCCUACGGGAAGCAGCAGUAGGGAAUUUUGCGCAAUGGGCGAAAGCCUGACGCAGCGACGCGGCGUGCGGGAUGAAGGCCUUCGGGUCGUAAACCGCUUUUAUAAGGGACGAACUUUGACGGUACCUUAUGAAUAAGAGGUUGCUAACUCUGUG
rnacentral:rRNA from 1 species